CCGGCCCUGCGGUGCGCGUGAUGACUCGAUGCGGUCUUGAGCCAACACUCUGAGAGUCGGGAGCUGCCCGGCGCGCGGUGUGCCUCGCGUUCGGAUGUGGCACCCACCUGCGAAAGCAGGUUCAAGGCUCCAUCUCACACGGCACCCGCGGGGUUGGU
rnacentral:other from 1 species